rnacentral:pre_miRNA from 1 species
GAGACAUCCUAAUGGAGUAGGACUUGCUUCAGUGGGGCUUUGGUGCUCACUGAGUCUGCCCUUUGCGUGUGUCGCU